UACGGGGGGGGCAAGCGUUGUUCGGAAUUACUGGGCGUAAAGGGCUCGUAGGCGGCCAACUAAGUCGGACGUGAAAUCCCCAGGCUCAACCUGGGAACUGCGUCCGAUACUGGAUGGCUUGAAUCCGGGAGAGGGAUGCAGAAUUCCCAGUGUAGCGGUGAAAUGCGCAGAUAUUGGGAGGAACACCAGCGGCGAAGGCGGCACUCUGGGCUGGUACUGACGCUGAGGAGCGAAAGCGUGGGUAGCGAACAGG
rnacentral:rRNA from 1 species